UACGUAGGGAGCAAGCGUUGUCCGAAUUUACUGGGUGUAAAGGGUGCGUAGGCGGCUUUGCAAGUCAGAAGUGAAAUCCAUGGGCUUAACCCAUGAACUGCUUUUGAAACUGCAGAGCUUGAGUGGAGUAGAGGUAGGCGGAAUUCCCGGUGUAGCGGUGAAAUGCGUAGAGAUCGGGAGGAACACCAGUGGCGAAGGCGGCCUGCUGGGCUCUAACUGACGCUGAGGCACGAAAGCGUGGGUAGCAAACAGG
rnacentral:rRNA from 1 species